rfam:Sorghum bicolor cultivar BTx623 chromosome 9, whole genome shotgun sequence.
UUUUGAGUGGUGAUGAGCAAUUGUGUUUUGGACUAGAGUUUCUGAUACUACUUAUGGUAGUUGAAGACCAAACCCUUGGCUGUCUGAACUCAAAU